UGACCGCUGGCGGCGUGCCUAAUACAUGCACGUCGAGCGAACGGACGAGAAGCUUGCUUCUCUGAUGUUAGCGGCGGACGGGUGAGUAACACGUGGAUAACCUACCUAUAAGACUGGGAUAACUUCGGGAAACCGGAGCUAAUACCGGAUGAUAUUUUGAACCGCAUGGUUCAAAAGUGAAAGACGGUCUUGCUGUCACUUAUAGAUGGAUCCGCGCUGCAUUAGCUAGUUGGUAAGGUAACGGCUUACCAAGGCAACGAUGCAUAGCCGACCUGAGAGGGUGAUCGGCCACACUGGAACUGAGACACGGUCCAGACUCCUACGGGAGGCAGCAGUAGGGAAUCUUCCGCAAUGGGCGAAAGCCUGACGGAGCAACGCCGCGUGAGUGAUGAAGGUCUUCGGAUCGUAAAACUCUGUUAUUAGGGAAGAACAUAUGUGUAAGUAACUGUGCACAUCUUGACGGUACCUAAUCAGAAAGCCACGGCUAACUACGUG
rnacentral:rRNA from 1 species